UGCAGUCGAGCGGAUCCUUCGGGAUUAGCGGCGGACGGGUGAGUAACGCGUGGGAACAUACCCUUUGGUACGGAAUAGCCUCGGGAAACUGAGAGUAAUACCGUAUGUGCCCUUCGGGGGAAAGAUUUAUCGCCAAAGGAUUGGCCCGCGUUGGAUUAGGUAGUUGGUGGGGUAAUGGCCUACCAAGCCGACGAUCCAUAGCUGGUUUGAGAGGAUGAUCAGCCACACUGGGACUGAGACACGGCCCAGACUCCUACGGGAGGCAGCAGUGGGGAAUCUUAGACAAUGGGGGAAACCCUGAUCUAGCCAUGCCGCGUGAUCGAUGAAGGCCUUAGGGUUGUAAAGAUCUUUCAGUGGGGAAGAUAAUGACGGUACCCACAGAAGAAGCCCCGGCUAACUCCGUGCCAGCAGCCGCGGUAAUACGGAGGGGGCUAGCGUUGUUCGGAAUUACUGGGCGUAAAGCGCACGUAGGCGGAUUGGAAAGUUGGGGGUGAAAUCCCAGGGCUCAACCCUGGAACUGCCUUCAAAACUCCCAGUCUUGAGUUCGAGAGAGGUGAGUGGAAUUCCGAGUGUAGAGGUGAAAUUCGUAGAUAUUCGGAGGAACACCAGUGGCGAAGGCGGCUCACUGGCUCGAUACUGACGCUGAGGU
rnacentral:rRNA from 1 species